GUUGAAUUUUAACAAAAGGUUGCUCAGCAUCUAUCAAGGCUAUCAUAAGGUUCUGGUAUGAAGAUGGCUUCAUAGCAUCAUCCCUCCUCCUGAUGGCUGGAUUCCCUCCUCCAUUUUUUUUUUUUUUGGAAUAGUUUAAGUAGAAUUGAUACCAGCUUUUCUGUUAAAAUUUGGUUGUGAAUCCAUCUGGUCCAGGUUAGUUGGUAAGUUCUUUAUUACUGAUUCAAUUUUGGAACAUGAUACUGAUCUGUUCUGGGUUUCAAUUUCUUCCUUUUUUAAUCUUGAGAGAUUGUGUGUUUCCAAAAAUUAAUCAAUUUCUUCUAUAUUUUCUAGUUUGUGUGCAUAGAGGUGUUGGUAAUAGUCUUUGAUAAUCAUUUGUAUUUCUGUAGGAUCAGUUAUAAUGUCCCCUUUGUCAUUUUUUAUGUGCUCUCUUUUUUUCUUUGUUAAUCUAGCUAGUGGUCUAUUGAUCUUGUUUAUUCUUUCAAAUAACCA
rnacentral:lncRNA from 1 species